UGUAAACUGAUCGCACGAUCCCCAUUUUUUUAACCUAUCCUAAUUCUCUCCUUCUCUUCUCUUCCCUUAAUUCCCUCAUUCUCCCAUUCUUCCCCACUAUCUUUGCUAACUCGAUCCAACCACCGACAUAACCACCUUCGCUAUCACGUCCUCCAUGAAUUGGCGCUGAGGGUUUUGAUAGAACAUGAAAAUUACAAGGAAAUCAAAAAUCAAAGAUCAAAGCAACGGGUUUCAGUCAUCAAAAUUUGAGAUUUUAGUAGUUUUUAACUUACUCAAGACAAGAGCUAUUAUGGCUACGAACAAGGUGUUAAUUUCUAUCAAAUUCUCAACCAAUGUUUCAAUUUUGCCUCAUCCUUUGAUUCUAUUGUGAUUUGAUUUAUUGAUCAACUUUUGUUCUAUAAUCUUGGUGAGUGAGAUGAGAUCUACAAUUGGAAACGUUGAGGGUCCUGAGUUGGCUGAUUGGGUUUUUGAUGGUGGUCCCGAAGAGUCAGAAAAUGUGAUUUUUAUCCGUCUCUCUUUUUUAUGAAGACCUAGUUUUCCAUAGCAAGCACCGAUUCUCUGAAAGCUCUUUCUUCAUUGGGAAAGGGAACCAGGAAGAACCUGUUGUCACAUUUGAUAUGGAGAAUAAGAGUGCAGAUGUUCAUGUAUUGAAAUUUGAGCUCUCUCUUUUUGAGACUCAGAUUUUGGUUAAUACUCCUCAAGGGAUAUUAGAGAUAUCUUCAGGUUUACUCGGGAGGCACAAUAUUUACAACAUUCUUGCGGCUGUGUUGGUUGGCAUAGUUGUGGGAGCACCUUUGGAAGACAUUGUUAGAGGGAUGAUUGCAGAAGUUGAUGGCGUGCCAUGUAGGUGUGAGUUGAUAGAUGGAGAACAAGCAUUCAAAGUAAUUAUAGACCAUGCCCAUACAGCUGAUGCCUUGUUGUAAGGGAGUUUGCGCCACGAAGAAUUAUCACAGUUCUUGGAUGUGGUGGUGAGAGGGACAGAGGGAAGAGACCGAUAAUGACGAAGUUAGCUACAGAAAAAAGUGAUGUUACACUUUGAACUUCUGAUAACCCUAGGAAGGAAGAUCCAUAAUGCUGUCUGGUGUAGUGUGGUCAAUGCAAGAAGUUUUUGAAUUUGGUGAGAAUGAUUAUCACCCACCUCUUCCAAAUAGACAUAGGCUCCUCUUACAUGACAUUAGGCGUGCAGCUGUACGGGCCUCGGUGUCCAUGAGAGAGGAAGGGGAUAUGGUUGUAGUUGUCGGGAAAGGUCAUGAAUCAUUUUAGAUAGAAGGUGAAAAGAAAUAAUUUUCUGAUGAUAGAGAAAAGUGUCAAAAGAACUGCAGUACAUCAAUGAGCUUCGCCAGGAUGGACUAGCCACUAGCGUGGCGGUAAUUCACUCACCUUUUUUUCCAGAAAACUUCAGUUAUAUGGGUAGCAUAAGAUUCUUCACAUCGCCUAGAAAAGAGUUUGAUUGGUUUAAGUCAGUAUUAUGUGCCUGUGUUCUGUUUGGUCUUGAAUGAUAUAAUAUAGAGUGAUUUGACCAUCUUCGAUAUUAGAAACUUUAAUUUUCGGAUAAUUUACAUGCAAGACUUUGUUGCACAUGCUACAGUGGGUCAGCAACAUCUCUCCCUCUCUCUUGUAAAACAUCUGGACUUUGAAAGAUAAGUUGAUAGGUUUCAUUUAUACAACGCUCUCUCUUGAUCUUGAUUUAUUGUGUUUAUGCGGGUUGCCAGAGAGUCGCUUAAUUUCAGGGGAAGAGAUCCAAGCCUUGACUCUUUUAUCUUAGAUAAUUAAUUCUCAUGCGUGGAGCAAGGCUCAGUCUAAGGAUAUGCCAAAGGUGCAACCGCAUAGGGUCUGGCGUGGUAGAACAUUAAUGAGUAUCUAAGGUAUCACAAUUAAGAAUCUGUCGAGUCGUUUUGUUUGAUGCUGUGGAAUUUCAAGCUUGUCAUCUAUUGGGUAUGUGACCUUUGUAUUUGAUGCCUUGAGAUAGUUUGCAAGGUUUUCUUGUUCAAUUUUUAAAGUGUUGGUGUGAUUCGGUUAGCAGUAAAUUGGUACUAGAGUGUGUUGGUAAAGAAACUAGUGGUAUUUAUGUUGUCCGUAUUCAAUGAUCAAUGGAAUAUGGAAGGUUUGUCCUAUCAAAAUUUGAGUUACGAAUCUCAUAGACAAAAAUAGCAGACCAUUCCUGUCUCUAACGUCAAUCGUCAUAUGAGGAUAAAUUGAAAAGGGCAUCCUUUUCUUAAGCUAACAAUGAGAAGGAAAAAUCUGGCAUUGUUGAACCACUUAACAACAAAAAUCUCCAUCCUAGAAAUAUUGAAGUGGUUCAGAACACCCAUUUCCGCAACAAAAAAUCACAAGGGUAUGAUCAUCUUUUAACUAUGAGCUUUGAGUUCUCAAUUUGAACCUCUAUGCAAGAGUUUGUUAAUUCCAGUUUGUUGUCUUGUUCAAGAAGCGUUGCAUUGGGAUUGAUAUUGCCCUGUGGGUGUCUCUGUGUGAAGAUUUUUUCUUACAGGAUAGCUGACAAUGUUUGAUAGUUGAUGCUAAUUACUUGUAUAUUUGUAGCAUUUUGUAAAACCCAUUUGUACAAGCGAGUCUGUAGAAACAUA